rnacentral:lncRNA from 1 species
UAAAAAAGACUGUCUUCUUUUUACAGUUGACAAAAACAUCUCCUUACUUGGAUUAACACUCUGCGGAAGCAAAAAUUGUGAUUAUUCUGUAGCUAUUCAAAUAGAUCACUUUGAACUCUUUAUGUGGAAUAAUGUUUGUAACAAGACGGGUAAUUUUUCUUCAGUUCGUAUCGAGUCAGACCUAGUUUCCUACUAUGGUUUCGAUGUUUUCUUUGACAGUCCAGUAGACAUAAACAAAGCUGUCAGUUACCGUGUAGAAGCUACCAUUUCUGGCCGUGCCAACUCUUGUUUUGGUGAAAAUGGUCAAUGUUCUGUGGUUUGUUGAGGGGUUAGAUUUGAUUUUGAAGACAGUACUGUGAGUAGCAAUGGAACUACAGUCAGUCGAGGGCAAUUUCCAGGGUUUCUUUUUAUUGUAAAAUAAAUGGUUAAUUACUUGACCUAUUCAAAUACAGUCAAAUACAGGAUGAAAGCACUAGGUUCAAUAAAUUUGUUGGUUCAGACGCUUUCAAUUCAGCCUAAAAAUGAAGCAACUAGGAAACUAUAAUGGACUUCUUGUGAACUUUUCGACAUGUGAGGCAGUCUCAAUUAGCUCAAUUAAUGCGAGAAAGGGUGUUAAAAAGCCUGCCGAUGUAAAUAGGGUUCUUAUAUAGAAUAGAAUGGAUUGCUUCUUUCUAUGUUAAUUUUACAAUUGCUUGUAAUUUUGUUAUUUUGUAGUUUAGCAGUUGCAAUUACAAUAUUCUAUUCCUGAAUGCUAAUUAAGUAGUAAUGACUUGUAUAUUUGCUUUGAUCACACAAAUGCGAUGUACAAUACGUGAUUCCUUGUUUCAAUUUCCUAAGUAAAGUAACCUUUCCUACAGACCUGAGCGCGUUGCGAGAAAAACUGCGACACAACCAUUAUGAUUUGACACACCGUUAAGUGAUUUGCAGUACGAAAUGGCAGUGAUAAGAAUUCGCUGAUGAUGUUCUUGACUGCAAAAUACUGACACAAGACGAAUCUUUAACGAUAGUUUUAAGUAUCUGAAUUCAAUUCAAAACAAUCCAGUAGGAUUUUUAGAGACCAUCAGACUGGCUUCAAGAAAUUGUUUGAUCAUUGACUGUCGCAAAUUUGGUUCCCUGGAUCACACUGAUUCAGGUUAUCCGUAUUUAUCUGAUGAAGAAGAUCUUCAAAGAUAUCUCCUUACUUGGAGUUACACUGUACAGAAGCAAAAAUAAUACCGUGUAUUGUCAGUGUAACGAUACGGGUAAAAGAUCUGGGUGAAAAGAAAUAUCUUGAUUCCAAAUCGGAAAAGAUUUUCCUGAGUCUUAGAAGUAUGAAUGAGUGUCUUAUUACGCCGCUUCAAUACUUUCUUUUACCAACCCGUUUUCUUAAUGAAGGGCUCCGAUUAUCGUUUCGAAGCUUCUACUGAUCUCUGGGAUUGUGAAAGGAAUACGUUUUCCCGUAAUGACCCAACAUGAAUUUGCUGAUGUUGUUCUUGACUGCAAGAUACUGACACAAGAUGAAUCUAUUACGAUGGUGAAACAUUUGAAUUCAAUUCGAAACACUCCAGUAGGAUUUCCAGAGACCAAACGUACUGGUUUGAAGGAAUUGGUUGAGCGUUGUUGCAGAUUUGGUUCCGCGGUUCCCACUGGCUCAGGUUAUCCUUAUUCACCUGGUAAAAAAGACUGUCUUCGUUUUGGGGUCGACAAAGACAUCUCCUUACUUGGAGUGACACUUUGUGGAAGUAAAGAUUGUAAUUACUCUGUCAAUAUCAGGGUAAGAAAUUUAUAUAAGGAUAAUAUCCUUUCUGAGAAAUCAGGAAAAUUUUCUUCAAUGUGUAUCAGGUCAGAACAAGUUUCUUACUACGGUUUCAAUGUUUUCUUCGACAUUCCAGUUGACAUAAAGAGGAGUGUCAGAUACCGUGUGGAAGCCUUUAUUUCUGAGGGCACCAACUCCUGUUUUGGUCAAAACGGUCAACAUUCUGUUGUUUGUUCAGGAGUUAGAUUUGAUUUUCGAAACAGUUCUGAGAGCAACAAUGGAACGAAAGUUGAACAAGGACAAUUUCCGGGGUUUCUUUUUACUGUAAAAGAAAUGGUUAAUUAAUUGACUUUUUCAAAUACAGUCAAAUACACUGAGGAUGAAAGCUCUCAGUUUUGAAAUAUAUCACCCAGGUUCAAUAAAUUUGUGUAUUCAGGAGAUUUCCAUUCAGCCUAAUUUUGUAGCACCUUGGAAACUAUAACGGACUUUGACAAGAGAAAAUCUCUUGACUUUGAACAGUUAUGAUCUUUUCAACAUGUGAGGCAGUCUCAAUCUGAUACGAGAUAGGCCGUUAAAGAGCCUGCCCGUGUAAAUAGGGUUCUUAUAUAGUAUAGAAUUGAUUGUUUCUUCAUAUAUUAACUUUACAAUUGCUUGUAAUUUUGUUAUUUUGUAGUUUAGCAGUUGCAAUUUCAAAAUUCUACAAUAUUAUGUGAAUAAUAUCACUGAACAUUC